rnacentral:rRNA from 1 species
UUGCAGGCUGCAACUCGCCUGCAUGAAGCUGGAAUUGCUAGUAAUCGCGGAUCAGCAUGCCGCGGUGAAUACGUUCCCGGGCCUUGUACACACCGCCCGUCACACCAUGAGAGUCGGGAACACCCGAAGUCCGUAGUCUAACCGCAAGGGGGGCGCGGCCGAAGGUGGGUCCGGUAAUUGGGGUGAAGUCGUAACAAGGUACC